ACUCCGGAAGACCUAGUGGCGAACGGGUGAGUAACACGUGAGGAACCUGCCCCGAAGACCGGGAUAACCCUCCGAAAGGAGAGCUAAUACCGGAUACCCCCAUUUGGUCGCAUGAUCGGAUGAGGAAAUGGAUUCCGCUUCGGGAGGGCCUCGCGGCCUAUCAGCUUGUUGGUGGGGUAACGGCCCACCAAGGCAUCGACGGGUAGCUGGUCUGAGAGGACGAUCAGCCACACUGGGACUGAGACACGGCCCAGACUCCUACGGGAGGCAGCAGUGGGGAAUCUUGCGCAAUGGGCGAAAGCCUGACGCAGCAACGCCGCGUGGGGGAUGAAGGCUCUCGGGUUGUAAACCCCUUUCAGCAGGGACGAACUAAGACGGUACCUGCAGAAGAAGCCCCGGCUAACUACGUGCCAGCAGCCGCGGUAACACGUAGGGGGCAAGCGUUGUCCGGAUUUAUUGGGCGUAAAGAGCUCGUACGCGGCUCGGUAAGUCGGGUGUUAAAUCCCCAGGCUCAACCUGGGACACCACUCGAUACUGCUGUGGCUAGAGUCCGGUAGGGGAGCGUGGAAUUCCUGGUGUAGCGGUGAAAUGCGCAGAUAUCAGAGGAACACCAGCGGCGAAUGCGCGCUCUGGGCCGGAACUGACGCUGAGAGCGAAAGCGUGGUAGCAAACAGAUUAGAUACCCUGGUAGUCCACGCCGUAA
rnacentral:rRNA from 1 species